GAUGAACGCUGGCGGCGUGCCUAAUACAUGCAAGUCGAGCGAACAGACGAGGAGCUUGCUCCUUUGACGUUAGCGGCGGACGGGUGAGUAACACGUAGGUAACCUACCUAUAAGACUGGGAUAACUUCGGGAAACCGGAGCUAAUACCGGAUAAUAUUUCGAACCGCAUGGUUCGAUAGUGAAAGAUGGCUUUGCUAUCACUUAUAGAUGGACCUGCGCCGUAUUAGCUAGUUGGUAAGGUAACGGCUUACCAAGGCAACGAUACGUAGCCGACCUGAGAGGGUGAUCGGCCACACUGGAACUGAGACACGGUCCAGACUCCUACGGGAGGCAGCAGUAGGGAAUCUUCCGCAAUGGGCGAAAGCCUGACGGAGCAACGCCGCGUGAGUGAAGAAGGUCUUCGGAUCGUAAAACUCUGUUAUUAGGGAAGAACAAACGUGUAAGUAACUGUGCACGUCUUGACGGUACCUAAUCAGAAAGCCACGGCUAACUACGUG
rnacentral:rRNA from 1 species